rnacentral:lncRNA from 1 species
UGUUUAAGUGAAGAACAUUUAAUAAUUACAACAUUUUUUAAAAUGGCAAACUCGUAGAAAGACCUUUUUAUACACAGAAGUCAUUCUCUAAUUCAGAGUUUUCCUGACCACAAUGUCAGUUAGGCUAUUCAUCUGUAUUUGGUUAUACCUUCAGUUUAUUUCACUAGAACCUUAUCUUUUAUUAUUUAUAGUUCUGUAUCAUCUGGUCGCUGCCUGAGUGUCUGAAAGGAUUAGUGUAAAUUGAGUUUUAUGAAUCAAUUUUGGCUGUAAGUGCUUUAGAUUAUCUCAUAAUUCACUUCAUGAAUGUAUUUCCUAAUUCACCUAUUUGCAAGCUGGAAAAUUGUUAAACUGGUUUUCUUAAAGAGAUGUGACAUGGCACAAAGGUGAAAUUGAUAGGAAAGACAUAUCAGUAAUUGAGACUCUUUGAAAAAUGUUUCUUAUAGCAAAACAGACACACACAUGGAAAAUCACAUUGUCAGUUUUAGCCAUUUAGGGGGAAAAGCAACUCACCAUUUUAAUCAGAAAUGUCAAUGGUAUAUGCUUUUACGAUAACUUUUGAAAUUUCAAGUUCAACUGUUAUUUGUUGAUGUGAAUACUGAUGUAAUACUCAUCUCUGUUUCUGUAAAAGGAAAAUAUGAUCCAUUUUGCAGAUGUCUACCAUAGAAAAUAAGCUGCUUUAAUAGAAGGGGUGAUCCACUGAAAGUUGAGUUAGUCAAGAUUAACAAUUGUUCCUAAGGCAAAGACGAUGCACCAAUCAACAACACAAGACUUCUAGGUUACCAUUGCUGCAAAUAGUAACUAAUCUAUAUAUUGCUCUAUAAAGAGGCUUGUUAUCAGUUCACUUAACACAGACUAACCCUCUUCCAAGACAAAAAUGUCAUCGUGGUGAGUUAAUAAAGUCAAAUUAAUUAGAAAGCAAACCCAAGACUGUUUAAGAUCUUGGUAAGGACUGACUUUCCCAUUGUUGCAUUCCCAGACCCUGUGCAAAACAGUAGAAUGGCUUUUACCUAUAUAUUA